UGCCAAACACCCAAGACAUCGGGGGAGGCCAGAGUGAUGCAUCUCUACCGAUUUUGGCGAUGAGGCCCUGGAUAGCUUGGAGUCAGAGUGACCCGCGAACGUGAGCACACUUGUGCCAUCCCUGUGAUAGGCAGAUUGCCAGCGCGACUCGAACGUAUCUAUCCCCUCCUCCCUCGGGCCCCUCUGGCACUGCCCACUGGUUUGGUGGGGAACGUGUGUGCCGCCCCAAGAAGGACGCAGCAGGUAGUGACUGGCACGAUGGUGGAGGCUGUAAAAAGGCAGGUGGCUAGCGCUUGAGGCAGAGGCCGUGUUCGGAUGGCUGAGUCGGCGCAUUGCUGUAGAGCGUGCGUGUCUUUGGCAUGCUCCGCACCACGCCCGUGGGGGCCUGUGGCAGAGCCGGGGGUGGUGCUGCAGUGGCGUUCAACUCAUUAUGGCAGCGAAUGGGCAUGAAGAACACAUUUUCUGUACUUUUUAUCGCUGCGUCCCCAAGUACCUUGGCGUGCUUCCAGCUGCCCCACUAAUAUAUAUAUAUAUAUAUAUAUAUGGGCAUCCAUAUUGGAAUAUGUGGCAUACACCUCGCAUGCGGACACAAGCAACGGUGAAUUCUCACUUCCCCCCCCCCUUAGGUUUUCUCCGCCCUUUCACCUCGCGCCCGAGUUGCCAUCGAUUUUUUUUUUGCACGUGUGGGUGUGGGUGCACGACUCGUCCGAUUAUGAAGACGG
rnacentral:misc_RNA from 1 species